UACGUAGGGGGCAAGCGUUGUCCGGAUUUAUUGGGCGUAAAGCGCACGUAGGCGGCUUCUUAAGUCAGGGGUGAAAUCCUGGAGCUCAACUCCAGAACUGCCUUUGAUACUGGGAAGCUUGAGUUCGGGAGAGGUGAGUGGAACUGCGAGUGUAGAGGUGAAAUUCGUAGAUAUUCGCAAGAACACCAGUGGCGAAGGCGGCUCACUGGCCCGAUACUGACGCUGAGGUGCGAAAGCGUGGGGAGCAAACAGG
rnacentral:rRNA from 1 species